GGUGGCAUGGCUUAGAUGGCAAAGCGCUUGCCUAGUAAGCAGGAGAUCACGAGUUCGAGUCUCGUUGGGACCU
rnacentral:tRNA from 1 species